CGACUACAUGAAGCUGGAAUCGCUAGUAAUCGCGAAUCAGAAUGUCGCGGUGAAUACGUUCCCGGGUCUUGUACACACCGCCCGUCACACCAUGGGAGUCGGAAAUGCCCGAAGUCAGUGACCCAACCACAACGUGAACUUCGUUCGCGUGGAGGGAGCUGCCGAAGGUGGAGCCGGUAACUGGGGUGAAGUCGUAACAAGGUAGC
rnacentral:rRNA from 1 species